rnacentral:rRNA from 1 species
UACGGAGGGUGCAAGCGUUAUCCGGAUUCACUGGGUUUAAAGGGUGCGUAGGUGGGUUUGUAAGUCAGUGGUGAAGUCUCCGUGCUUAACAUGGAAACUGCCAUUGAUACUAUAGAUCUUGAAUUUUCUGGAGGAUAGCGGAAUAUGUCAUGUAGCGGUGAAAUGCUUAGAUAUGACAUAGAACACCAAAUUGCGAAGGCAGCUAUCUACAGGGAUAUUUGACACUGAGGCACGAAAAGCGUGGGGGAUCAAAACAGG